rnacentral:rRNA from 1 species
AUUGAACGCUGGCGGCAGGCCUAACACAUGCAAGUCGAACGGUAGCACAGAGAGCUUGCUCUCGGGUGACGAGUGGCGGACGGGUGAGUAACGUCUGGGAAACUGCCCGAUGGAGGGGGAUAACUACUGGAAACGGUAGCUAAUACCGCAUAACGUCGCAAGACCAAAGUGGGGGACCUUCGGGCCUCACACCAUCGGAUGUGCCCAGAUGGGAUUCGCUAGUAGGUGGGGUAAUGGCUCACCUAGGCGACGAUUCCUAGCUGGUCUGAGAGGAUGACCAGCCACACUGGAACUGAGACACGGUCCAGACUCGUACGGGAGGCAGCAGUGGGGAAUAUUGCACAAUGGGCGCAAGCCUGAUGCAGCCAUGCCGCGUGUAUGAAGAAGGCCUUCGGGUUGUAAAGUACUUUCAGCGGGGAGGAAGGCGGUGAAGUUAAUAGCUUCACCGAUUGACGUUACCCGCAGAAGAAGCACCGGCUAACUCCGUGCCAGCCGCCGCUGUAA